ACAUAAUAAAUAUAACACGUGAGCAUAUAUUAAUGAAGGCAGCUCUUGCUUCAGUGGUUGGGAGCAAAACCUUCGUGUUCGAGGUCGGGAGUUCGAACCUUACCUCUUACAAAUAUUUUUGGAUCUCGUAUAUGCUUGAUAUACGGACGUAUAUACGGUAUGUACGGUAUACAUACGUAUAUACGGUCUGUACGGUAUGUAUACGUAUAUACGGUAUGUACAAUUUCAUACCGUAGCCGAGCUAAAAAGUUGUGGGCCGAAUAGUAGGCCCGAAUAGUAAGCCCAAAUUUGGUUGGGCCUAUUCAAAAUGCGUUUGGUUCGGCCGAUUGGUAGGCCCAAAUAGUAAGCCCAAUUGUUCGGCCGAUUUGUAGGCCCAAAUAGUAAGCCCAAUUGUUCGGCCGAUUGGUAGGCACAAAUAGUAAGCCCAAUUGUUCGGCCCGAAUGGUAGGCCCAAAUGUUAAGCCCAAUUGUUCGGCCCAAAUGGUAGGCCCAAAUGUUAAACCUAAAUUGGUUCGGGCCGGUUCGAAAUGUGGAUGGUUCGGUUUCUUCGGCCCAAUUGGCCAGCCCUAAUGCUUAGCCCAAGGAUUGAGCAAGCCCAAGUCAUCAUCACUGGGUGUCAGAUUUUAUUGGCAUGCUUUUGGGGAUGAUUUGUUUUGAGUGAUGCAUCUCUAUUGUUGUGUAGAAUAGUGCAUGCUUAAGUUUUACUAUAGAGAUUUACCGUGAUGCUAAUUGAGUAGCGAAACGCUUUGUGAGAAUGUUUACUGUGCUUGUAUGCCAGUACAGGAUGAUGAUCUAUGUGAAGAUCUAUGUGAUGAUCUAUGAGAUGAUCUAUGUGAAGAUCUAUGUGAGGAUCCAUGUGGUGAUUUUGUGUGAGUUUACUUUUGUGAUGAAAGAAUUUGUGGCCUUAGGAAUGUAUUUUUAUACAAAGGGCUGUGGCUUUGUAGAUUACUACAGCUUUGGAAAGGAUGGAGAUUCGAUGGUUAGGUUAACCGUAAUCGAGAGCAAUUAACUUGCGCUUAAAUUUCGGGACGAAAUUUCUUUAAGGAGGGUGGAUUGUAAUACCCGAAAAAUUCAAGUUAAUUUCCGAUGACGUUUUGGAAAUGAUUUCGUGGUCGUGGACACGAGUACGAAGCUUAGAGGAGUGUGGAAUUAGUUCGAACGAUUUUAUUUUGAAAACUGAACGUUUUAGGGGGGGUCAAAGGAGUUGACUUUUUAUACAUUGGGAAAUUGGGAAAACUUCCUUCAUGAAAGUUGUAGAGCGCGUCGAUACGAGUUCGUGGACAUAUGGAACGUAAUAUUCGGAGUUCGUAUGAAUAAGUUACGAAUAUUUGAAAAUUGGGAUUUUCUAUAAAUAUGAAAAAAAAUCCGAAUAUUGCAAAUGAGGACAGAAUUUCUGGAACUCCAGAAAUUUCUCCCCAUUUCUCUCCCGAGCCCAGCCGCGACCCCCUCCCUUCGUCACCUUCGUUCUUCCUCAUCCGGCCACCGAUUGAUGUGAAACAAAGUGGGUUUUUCUGGUCUCGACCCCCUUUACGAGUUUGUAGAAGAAAUCGAAGUGAAAUACGAGCUGUAUGAGGCUCUACAAGGUCGAGAAGAGAGCCUCGUCGGAGACGAAAUCGCUCUUCCCCACUUUUUCUGGGCUCUACUUUGUCUGGCCAUAUCUUCCUCUACAGGCCUCCGAUCGACCUGAUUCCAAAAGCAAUUUUUCUCACCGUGAAGUUUUCUACAACUUUCCAGAAGACAUCGACUUGAGAUAACCAUCGUGGUGGCCGCUAGAAGACCGAGAAGCCGCACAGCCGAGCUGGAAAUCGUCUUCCUUCGCCACCUUGGUUCUCCCAGCUCCGGCCACUAUAGCUCGAGUUCUUUGAGGGCUUUUCUAGCCCAGAGGAAGUAGAAGCUAUCCCCAAGAAGGCUUGCAGCGAUUUGAUCCGGGGUGAUCGAAUUUUGAAGAUUGGGAAACUAGGGUUCUUCGGGUUUCAAAACUUGCGAGGUGAUUGACGGUCUCCCUUGGGUGAACGAUUUCGGUGUGUAUUGUGUUAAACUGAAGACGCAGCGGGAAUAUCGAGUGGGUAAUCCUGCAGGUCAGGAGAAUCAGGACGGUGAUCGUGCGGGUUAGAGAAUUUGUUUUAGUUUUACAGCAAUUGUAAUUGUGAGGUGAGUUAUGCUCAUUUGAGCCUUACAAUAUAAUUUGGUGAGAGUGUGCUGUAAUAAACAAAUUUGAGAUUUGGUUUAUGUAAUAUCGAGCGAUGUGAGGUGUGGUUGUUUUGAGAAAAAAAAUUCAGGUUGUAUUUAUGUGAGUUGUAUUAAUUCAUGUUUCGGAUUUUGAUUUGUAUUUAAAAUUCGGGGC